CUCCUUUGACGUUAGCGGCGGACGGGUGAGUAACACGUGGGUAACCUACCUAUAAGACUGGGAUAACUUCGGGAAACCGGAGCUAAUACCGGGUAAUAUUUCGAACCGCAUGGUUCGAUAGUGAAAGAUGGUUUUGCUAUCACUUAUAGAUGGACCCGCGCCGUAUUAGCUAGUUGGUAAGGUAACGGCUUACCAAGGCGACGAUACGUAGCCGACCUGAGAGGGUGAUCGGCCACACUGGAACUGAGACACGGUCCAGACUCCUACGGGAGGCAGCAGGC
rnacentral:rRNA from 1 species